rnacentral:tRNA from 2 species
GCCCGGGUGGCGAAAUGGCAGCCGCAGCGGAUUCAAAAUCCGCCGCCCCUUAAAGGCAUGAAGGUUCGAGUCCUUUCCCGGGCA